AAUAGCCUGACGGCUGAACCAGCAACUUGGAAGAAUGUAUAGCGAAAGCUAAUUAUUUCGGAAAUAAUAUCGAUUUACUCGAAUAAAAUUCUGUGUGGAAAUUUGAUAAUGACAUGUUCUGCAUAUAAGUCUUGACCAAAUUACGUGCCAGCAGUCGCGGUAAUACGUAUAAGACUAGUGUUAUUCAUCUUUAAUUGGUUUAAAGGGUACCUAGACGGUAAAAUAAGCCUUAAGGGACUAAUUUACUAGAGUUACUUAUGAGGGGGCUAUUAGGUACUAGUGGUGGAGAGAUGAAAUUCUUUGAUACCUUGCUUUGUAAAAGUGAACAUGGCACAGAUUAAGGCGUAAGCAUCUCCUUAUGUGAUAGCUUCGUAUAACAAAAAGGAUUAGGUACCCUCGUAGUUGAAGGCAGACAAUGAUGAGUGUCAUAGGGUAAUUUACCGUAUAAAUGAUAGUGUAAGCACUCCACCUCAAGAGUAAUUUGGCAACAUUGGAACUGAAAUCAUUAGACCGUUUCUGAAACCAGUAGUGAAGUAUGUUGUUUAAUUUGAUGAUCCGCAAAAAACCUUACCAUGAAUAUUUACAAGAGCUGCACGGCUGUCUUCAGCUAAUGUCGUGAGAUUUUGGUUAGUUCCAUUAAAUUAGCGUAAGCCCUUACUUUAUUUUUAAAUAAAGUAGUUCUCCAUUAUAUAGGAUAAGAUAACAGGGACUAAGACAAGUCAUCAUGGCCAUAAAUGUAAUAAGCCUUUACAAAAGGAUGUGAAAUUGUGAAAUUAAGCUAAUCCCUUAAAAUUGGCUAUAAAAACUAUG
rnacentral:rRNA from 1 species